GCGCGAGCGCGGCGCGCAGCUUGGGUUCCUGCCGGCGCCUCUCCCUCCACACCUCACCUCAAACAGAGGGAGCCGGCUCCGGUCUCGGCCAGCCCAGAGAGGGCCUCCCAUAGUGCAGCGGCGGGCUGAAGGUCUCCUCAAGCGCUGCCAGAGUGGGCGUCGAGGCUGAGGAGACACCGAGAGCGAGUGAGGGCUGCAAGCAUGCUGUCACCUCUCAGUAAUUUGAGAAAAUUUCUGUUUUCUAUGGGUUGGGAGCAGCAAGUACUGCAGCCCAUUUGAGGUAUGAUAAUCAGCUGAUUAGCUAGUGGAGUCGUUUUCCCUGAGGCUCUUUUGUGUGCAAAAUCCUCACACUCAAUUGACAUGUGGACAUCAUAAAGCUGAUGAAAUGCAAUUGUAAUGAACAAGAGGGAGCGGCAUCUGCAGCCGUCUAAAUGAAGGACCCUUUCCUCUCGCCAUGCUAAUUCAGAAAAUCUGCUCUUAACGUGUACUCCCCCUGGAUUCCAAAUUGAGGCACAUCUCCAUGAAUGCAUAUUCAAGGAGUGAAUUAGCCUCUGUGGCAAGUGAGCGCCUAGCCUGGCCAGACUGAUUCUAAUUUCAAGACAGAUUAUACUGCAUCAACCAUAGUAAUGAUCUGACAGUUCAUUUGUGAUGAGAGUCCUACAGUCAGCUUUACUGCUCGGACAGACAGGUGCACAGAGAGAGCCAGCAAGACCUCUCAGAAAACACCAAAGGCUGCUGUCAAAUGAUUUCAGCCCAAAUAGCCAGAUG
rnacentral:lncRNA from 10 species